UACGAAGGGUGCAAGCGUUACUCGGAAUUACUGGGCGUAAAGCGUGCGUAGGUGGUUCGUUAAGUCAGAUGUGAAAGCCCCGGGCUCAACCUGGGAAUUGCAUUUGAUACUGGCGGGCUAGAGUGCGGUAGAGGAGAGUGGAAUUCCCGGUGUAGCAGUGAAAUGCGUAGAGAUCGGGAGGAACAUCAGUUGCGAAGGCGGCUCUCUGGACCAGCACUGACACUGAGGCACGAAAGCGUGGGGAGCGAACAGG
rnacentral:rRNA from 1 species